rnacentral:tRNA from 1 species
GCUUUCGUGGUGUAGUGGUCAGCACGCUCGGCGGGUAUUCUAGAGAUCCGAGGUUCGAAUCCCGGCGAGGGCA